CAAGGCAUAGCUCAACACAAAGCAUCCAGCUUACACCCGGAAGAUAUCACUACCUGAUUGCCUUGA
rnacentral:tRNA from 1 species